rnacentral:rRNA from 1 species
CACGUAGGCGGUUUGGUAAGUCUGGUGUGAAAGCCCGGGGCUCAACCCCGGAAGUGCAUUGGAUACUGGCAGGCUUGAGUAUGGGAGAGGAAAGUGGAAUUCCGAGUGUAGGAGUGAAAUCCGUAGAUAUUCGGAGGAACACCAGUGGCGAAGGCGGCUUUCUGGACCAAUACUGACGCUGAGAUGCGAAAGCGUGGGGAGCAAACA